rnacentral:tRNA from 1 species
UAGGGUGUAGCUCAACCACAGAGUGCUUGCUUAGCAUGCACAAGGCCCUGGGUUCCAUCCCCAGCACUGUAA